GAUGAACGCUGGCGGCGUGCCUAAUACAUGCAAGUCGAGCGAACGGACGAGAAGCUUGCUUUUCUGAUGUUAGCGGCGGACGGGUGAGUAACACGUGGAUAACCUACCUAUAAGACUGGGAUAACUUUGGGAAACCGGAGCUAAUACCGGAUAAUAUUUUGAACCGCAUGGUUCAAAAGUGAAAGACGGUCUCGCUGUCACUUAUAGAUGGAUCCGCGCUGCAUUAGCUAGUUGGUAAGGUAACGGCUUACCAAGGCAACGAUGCAUAGCCGACCUGAGAGGGUGAUCGGCCACACUGGAACUGAGACACGGUCCAGACUCCUACGGGAGGCAGCAGUAGGGAAUCUUCCGCAAUGGGCGAAAGCCUGACGGAGCAACGCCGCGUGAGUGAUGAAGGUCUUCGGAUCGUAAAACUCUGUUAUUAGGGAAGAACAUAUGUGUAAGUAACUGUGCACAUCUUGACGGUACCUAAUCAGAAAGCCACGGCUAACUACGUG
rnacentral:rRNA from 1 species